UACGUAGGGGGCAAGCGUUGUCCGGAAUCAUUGGGCGUAAAGAGCGUGUAGGCGCCAGAUAAGUCCGCUGUGAAAACUCGAGGCUCAACUUCGAGCUGUCGGCGGAAACUAUCUGGCUAGAGUCCGGAAGAGGAGAGUGGAAUUCCUGGUGUAGCGGUGAAAUGCGCAGAUAUCAGGAGGAACACCGGUGGCGAAGGCGGCCAUCUGGACCGCAACUGACGCUGAGGCGCGAAGCGUGGGGAGCAAACAGG
rnacentral:rRNA from 1 species